CUACGGGCCGCUGCAGUGGGGAAUAUUGCACAAUGGGCGCAAGCCUGAUGCAGCAACGCCGCGUGAGGGAUGAAGGCCUUCGGGUUGUAAACCUCUUUUAGCAGGGAAGAAGCGAAAGUGACGGUACCUGCAGAAAAAGCACCGGCUAACUACGUGCCAGCAGCCGCGGUAAUACGUAGGGUGCAAGCGUUGUCUGGAAUUAUUGGGCGUAAAGAGCUCGUAGGCGGUUUGUCACGUCUGCUGUGAAAAUCCAAGGCUCAACCUUGGACUUGCAGUGGGUACGGGCAGGCUAGAGUGCGGUAGGGGAGAUGGGAAUUCCUGGUGUAGCGGUGGAAUGCGCAGAUAUCAGGAGGAACACCAAUGACGAAGGCACAUCUCUGGGCCGUAACUGACGCUGAGGAGCGAAAGCGUGGGGAGCGAACAGGAUUAGAUACCCUGGUAGUC
rnacentral:rRNA from 1 species